UAAAAGUUUGCUUUGUAUUGUUUUUAUUCAUUCAACCCUUUUAAUAAAAAUCUACUUUUUAAAUUUGUUGAAUCCUUUGUUCUUUGGAACAUCGUAAUGCUACGAGAGUGAUCUCCGUAAGCACGGUCUUGUUCACUAGUGGGGCUGCCUCUCACGGACUAAGACCAACCCAGCAAGUAUCUGGCCUUCCGCAGCCUUAUACUGAAGAACCAUCGAUCCACCUUUCCUUUAAUCCAUCUUUGGGUCAAAGUUUAUCCUUUUCACCAACCUUCGAGUGCAUUCCUUGGGAGAUUUUCUAUUAUUUGGUAUCAGAGCACACUUGAGGGUUCGGUGUUCACUUCUGUCAUUCAUCAUUCUCAUCUUUCCAUCUUCUACAAAAAAAAAAAAAAAAAUCCACGAGAAAACAAGAGAUCAUUCCAUCUGAAGUUAAAUCGAGACUGCUCCUCCAUCUCUCGUAAUGGCUCUAGGAGAUUGCUUCUCCGAAAGCAACCUGUUUUGAUCACUAGUGGGGCUGCCUCUCACGGUCACAGGUUCUAAACAUUAUGUCGGAUUUGAGGGCAAAUCCUUUUGAAGGAGGAGGGGAUGAUGUGACCUUGUUCAGGAACAAGCAAAUCAAGAGAUGUCCAAAAAAAAGAAAGGCUCACCAAGAAAAUACAAGCCAAUGUCGUAUAAUAUAUCAAUCUGACGGCAAUUCAGAGACCGUCGAUCAUGCAAAAGGAUGCGACCAGCCAAGGAAUUCUGCGAACACAAUUUCCAAAAUUCAGUCAACAGUCUUGGUCUUUGGUCAAGUCAAUAUUCCUAGUCAAGUCUUCAUAGUUUUAAGAUCUUUAUAGUUUCAAGGAUUGACUAGAUUAUUUAAUUUUACAGAUUGCCUAUUAUAUAAAAGUUUGCUUUGUAUUGUUUUUAUUCAUUCAACCCUUUUAAUAAAAAUCUACUUUUUAAAUUUGUUGAAUCCUUUGUUCUUUGGAACAUCGUAAUGCUACGAGAGUGAUCUCCGUAAGCACGGUCUUGUUCACUAGUGGGGCUGCCUCUCACGGACUAAGACCAACCCAGCAAGUAUCUGGCCUUCCGCAGCCUUAUACUGAAGAACCAUCGAUCCACCUUUCCUUUAAUCCAUCUUUGGGUCAAAGUUUAUCCUUUUCACCAACCUUCGAGUGCAUUCCUUGGGAGAUUUUCUAUUAUUUGGUAUCAGAGCACAAGAGAAAACAAGAGAUCAUUCCAUCUGAAGUUAAAUCGAGACUGCUCCUCCAUCUCUCGUAAUGGCUCUAGGAGAUUGCUUCUCCGAAAGCAACCUGUUUUGAUCACUAGUGGGGCUGCCUCUCACGGUCACAGGUUCUAAACAUUAUGUCGGAUUUGAGGGCAAAUCCUUUUGAAGGAGGAGGGGAUGAUGUGACCUUGUUCAGGAACAAGCAAAUCAAGAGAUGUCCAAAAAAAAGAAAGGCUCACCAAGAAAAUACAAGCCAAUGUCGUAUAAUAUAUCAAUCUGACGGCAAUUCAGAGACCGUCGAUCAUGCAAAAGGAUGCGACCAGCCAAGGAAUUCUGCGAACACAAUUUCCAAAAUUCAGUCAACAGUCUUGGUCUUUGGUCAAGUCAAUAUUCCUAGUCAAGUCUUCAUAGUUUUAAGAUCUUUAUAGUUUCAAGGAUUGACUAGAUUAUUUAAUUUUACAGAUUGCCUAUUAUAUAAAAGUUUGCUUUGUAUUGUUUUUAUUCAUUCAACCCUUUUAAUAAAAAUCUACUUUUAAAUUUGUUGAAUCCUUUGUUCUUUGGAACAUCGUAAUGCUACGAGAGUGAUCUCCGUAAGCACGGUCUUGUUCACUAGUGGGGCUGCCUCUCACGGACUAAGACCAACCCAGCAAGUAUCUGGCCUUCCGCAGCCUUAUACUGAAGAACCAUCGAUCCACCUUUCCUUUAAUCCAUCUUUGGGUCAAAGUUUAUCCUUUUCACCAACCUUCGAGUGCAUUCCUUGGGAGAUUUUCUAUUAUUUGGUAUCAGAGCACACUUGAGGGUUCGGUGUUCACUUCUGUCAUUCAUCAUUCUCAUCUUUCCAUCUUCUACAAAAAAAAAAAAAAAAAAAUCCACGAGAAAACAAGAGAUCAUUCCAUCUGAAGUUAAAUCGAGACUGCUCCUCCAUCUCUCGUAAUGGCUCUAGGAGAUUGCUUCUCCGAAAGCAACCUGUUUUGAUCACUAGUGGGGCUGCCUCUCACGGUCACAGGUUCUAAACAUUAUGUCGGAUUUGAGGGCAAAUCCUUUUGAAGGAGGAGGGGAUGAUGUGACCUUGUUCAGGAACAAGCAAAUCAAGAGAUGUCCAAAAAAAAGAAAGGCUCACCAAGAAAAUACAAGCCAAUGUCGUAUAAUAUAUCAAUCUGACGGCAAUUCAGAGACCGUCGAUCAUGCAAAAGGAUGCGACCAGCCAAGGAAUUCUGCGAACACAAUUUCCAAAAUUCAGUCAACAGUCUUGGUCUUUGGUCAAGUCAAUAUUCCUAGUCAAGUCUUCAUAGUUUUAAGAUCUUUAUAGUUUCAAGGAUUGACUAGAUUAUUUAAUUUUACAGAUUGCCUAUUAUAUAAAAGUUUGCUUUGUAUUGUUUUUAUUCAUUCAACCCUUUUAAUAAAAAUCUACUUUUUAAAUUUGUUGAAUCCUUUGUUCUUUGGAACAUCGUAAUGCUACGAGAGUGAUCUCCGUAAGCACGGUCUUGUUCACUAGUGGGGCUGCCUCUCACGGACUAAGACCAACCCAGCAAGUAUCUGGCCUUCCGCAGCCUUAUACUGAAGAACCAUCGAUCCACCUUUCCUUUAAUCCAUCUUUGGGUCAAAGUUUAUCCUUUUCACCAACCUUCG
rnacentral:lncRNA from 1 species